rnacentral:rRNA from 1 species
AUUGAACGCUGGCGGCAUGCUUUACACAUGCAAGUCGAACGGUAACAGGCCACAAGGUGCUGACGAGUGGCGAACGGGUGAGUAAUGCAUCGGAACGUGCCCAGUCGUGGGGGAUAACUACUCGAAAGAGUAGCUAAUACCGCAUACGAUCUAUGGAUGACAGCGGGGGACCGUAAGGCCUCGCGCGAUUGUAGCGGCCGAUGUCAGAUUAGGUAGUUGGUGGGGUAAAGGCUCACCAAGCCAACGAUCUGUAGCUGGUCUGAGAGGACGACCAGCCACACUGGAACUGAGACACGGCCCAGACUCCUACGGGAGGCAGCAGUGGGGAAUAUUGGACAAUGGGCGCAAGCCUGAUCCAGCAAUGCCGCGUGCAGGAAGAAGGCCUUCGGGUUGUAAACUGCUUUUGUACGGAACGAAACGGCUCUGGUUAAUACCCGGGGGUAAUGACGGUACCGUAAGAAUAAGCACCGGCUAACUACGUG